rnacentral:rRNA from 1 species
UGCCAGCCGCCGCGGUAACACGGGGGGCGCAAGCGUCAUUCGGAAUUAUUGGGCGUAAAGAGUACGUAGGCGGCCUUGUAGGUGAGAUGUGAAAUCCCACGGCUCAACCGUGGAAUUGCGUUUCAAACCACAAGGCUUGAGGGAGACAGGGGUGAGCGGAACUGAUGGUGGAGCGGUGAAAUGCGUUGAUAUCAUCAGGAACACCGGUGGCGAAGGCGGCUCACUGGGUCUCUUCUGACGCUGAGGUACGAAAGCUAGGGUAGCGAACGGGAUUAGAUA